rnacentral:rRNA from 1 species
UAUUGGGCAAUGGGCGCAAGCCUGACCCAGCAACGCCGCGUGAAGGAAGAAGGCUUUCGGGUUGUAAACUUCUUUUGACAGGGAAGAGUAGAAGACGGUACCUGUCGAAUAAGCCACGGCUAGCUACGUGCCAGCAGCCGCGGUAAUACGUAGGUGGCAAGCGUUGUCCGGAUUUACUGGGUGUAAAGGGCGUGUAGCCGGGUUGACAAGUCAGAUGUGAAAUCCUGCGGCUUAACCGCAGAACUGCAUUUGAAACUGUUGAUCUUGAGUACUGGAGAGGCAGACGGAAUUCCUAGUGUAGCGGUGAAAUGCGUAGAUAUUAGGAGGAACACCAGUGGCGAAGGCGGUCUGCUGGACAGCAACUGACGGUGAGGCGCGAAAGCGUGGGGAGCAAACAGG